rnacentral:rRNA from 1 species
GAUGAACGCUGGCGGCGUGCCUAAUACAUGCAAGUCGAGCGAACAGACGAGGAGCUUGCUCCUCUGACGUUAGCGGCGGACGGGUGAGUAACACGUGGAUAACCUACCUAUAAGACUGGGAUAACUUCGGGAAACCGGAGCUAAUACCGGAUAAUAUAUUGAACCGCAUGGUUCAAUAGUGAAAUACGGUUUUGCUGUCACUUAUAGAUGGAUCCGCGCCGCAUUAGCUAGUUGGUAAGGUAACGGCUUACCAAGGCGACGAUGCGUAGCCGACCUGAGAGGGUGAUCGGCCACACUGGAACUGAGACAAGGUCCAGACUCCUACGGGAGGCAGCAGUAGGGAAUCUUACGCAAUGGGCGAAAGCCUGACGGAGCAACGCCGCGUGAGUGAUGAAGGUCUUCGGAUCGUAAAACUCUGUUAUUAGGGAAGAACAAAUGUGUAAGUAACUAUGCACGUCUUGACGGUACCUAAUGAGAAAGCCCCGGCUAACUACGUG